GUUAGAGCCUCUCAAGCCACUUGGCAACUAGCAGGGCCUCACCUGUCACUUUUAGUGGAAUUGUUUCGCCGCUCGGCAAUAGCUAGUCUGCCAGUACCAAUUGGAUUUCGCACUAAAUGGUACUUUUUAUAAUUCAGUAUGUCCCAGGCUCCUGAUGUCCCAGGAAAACUUUCCUUGCCCAGUACCCCUGCUAGGUCUGGUGUAGACGCAGCUAGACCAUCAUCACUCAGAUCGUGGACUAUCACGCGUAUCACUGCUGAACUCCGCAGGAGAAAUAUAACAUUCCCGGCUACUGCCAGGAAAGCAAAAUUGUUUAGGCUUCUGAAUGUCAACACCAAGAACUCUGAUGCUGGGGAGGGGCCUAGUGGAUCCCAGCCGCUUGACGUCCAAGCCAUGAUGACCUCAUUGUUAUCAUUUAUUGGACUAUUUAAUGAUAGGUUGGAGCAGUUGGAAUCAUCCAGUACCCUUAACUUACCUGCUAGAUCACCAGAUGCAAUCCCAUCUGCAUCUUCAACUACAACAGGUAAUUCUCCAGUUCAACUGAAAGUCCCUGAGGUCAUUAACCCAUCGCAUAGGGUUCCAGCUCAUCUUAAAAAGGACAUCCUGGAGGGCAAGGAUAUUAACCUGGUCUCACUCCUUACUGCCUCACAGGAUGUCAUUAAGAAAAGGACACAUGCAUACGG